rnacentral:lncRNA from 1 species
CUAGAUAUGUCUUUUGGUCUUGUCUGAGUCCCUGAUCUGGUUUUGGCUUCAUUUAAAUGAAAGCCUAAUAAGAAAUAAAAAAUUGUUGAAAAAUGAUCAUCAUCAAAUGUGACUUGACCACUCCUCAUGGAUCACAGUAUUGCGCCUAGGAAUUUUUCUUAUAUGUCUGCCGAUAGCUUUAGAACUUGUUAGAAAGUAGAAACUAAUGAGCGUGUGAAUCUUACACGUACAGGAGAAGUUGCUGAUAGAAGAGAAUCUGGUUCUAGCUAGCAAGGUAACAGAGGUACACUCUAUUGUAUAUAAGCUAAUUAAUCCCUUAUAUAUGUAUAAAUAGAUAUAAAAUUCAUGACUUCGAAUUCGAUAGAUGCUAGACAAUUUUGAGUGAAACACAUAAUUUAAGUUAUUUAGUAGCGGUAGGAAAAAAGUUCAAGGACUGUUGGAUUUAUACUGCACAAUUAUGUGUAUGAAUGUAUUAAACUGAUUCUUUAUUACAGAAAUUUAGAAUGUUUGAUACAUAUAAAAAUGGCAAAUCUCCAAAAUAGCACCUUUCUAAGUUUAUAUCACAAAAAUAGCACUCAAAAACUAAAAUGACCAAAAUAGCAUUUUAUCUUUUGAAAAUUUUAAUUUUUUUUUAUUUUUUAAAAUUUGAAAUCUUAUCCCCAAAACCUCAUUUCUCAACUCUAAACCCUAAAACCUAAACUCUAUACCCUAAACCCUAAAUUCUAUACCCUAAACCCCACCCCUUGAAUGAUAUUUUUGUGACUUUUGGACUUGAGUGCUAGUUUGGGAACAAAAACUUGAUUUAGUGCUAUUUUGGUCUUUUUCUCAUAUAAAAAUUAUAGAAGUUUUAAAGAAAUCAAUGAUUUAGUUAAGAAGAAUGCAUUUUACACAUAUAUAUUAUCUGUAGAUGAUAUAAUGUAUAAAUUUCUUACAGAUUUGGAAGCAGACGUUCCUAGUAACACGGGAUGAGACAUCAAUGUUACCGGAAUAUAGAUUCGGUAACAAUCCACCGGAGACUCUCUCGCUGCUCAAGUAACCAUCAUCAUCAACGGCUCUGAGUUUUCACCUUAACUCAAAGCCUGAUUCAGAAUUAGAAAUAAAGAAAUUUGUAAUAUCUGCAUAAUCGCAAACCUUUUUAUAUUCCUCUAAUGUCGAAGUCAAGGCAAAACAAACAAACAAACAAACGGGGAGCUCUCUUUUUCUGAAACUAAAGAACUGUAUAACUAAGAUGAAGGAAUCGAUAUUUGUUGUACCUUUGCAGACAAGAUCAGAGUUCAUGUGUUUGUGUUCUUGUCUGAAAGCAGGGACGGAUCUAAAGCUUUU